UAUCUACAAGUUUUAAUAAAGCAAGCAAAAUAAUUGUUUAUUACCUGAUGUCUUGGUUGGUGUUUUGACUGAUUACAUUACAUGUUCAGUUUCUUUUCUAUUGUUGUUUUCUUUUUUUUUCCCCCCCAGCUUUUCUCACUUACCAUUUGAAGGAUGUUUUAUACAAUCCCUGGAUUGGCUUGAAUGAUGUAAUUAGUGAACUUAACUUUGUUUGGGCUGAUGGAAGUGCUGUUUCCUAUACAAAUUGGGCUCCAGAUUCCCCAAAACUUUAUGAACCCAUUUUAUAUGACAGCCUCCAUCCAGAAGAUGGCCACAAUCGGAUGCAGUAUGACUGUGUUUCUCUGAAGAGAGAUUAUACUGAUAUAGGGAAAUGGAGCGAUGAGUCCUGUUCUAAAUCCAGCGGAUAUAUAUGCCAGAAGAACAGUGACCCUAAACUCUAUAAGUCAUCGGCAACAGCGUUGGACUUUGCUUUUGACCAUUCUGAUGGCAUUAGCUACUCUGUCAUCCAUUCCAAAAUGAAUUGGGAAGAAGCACAACAAUCCUGCAAUAGCAAUGCCUCCGAACUUGCUAGCAUUUUAGACCCAUAUAGCCAGUCACUACUGUUCUUAAUUGCACAGGAAUAUGGACAGCCUAUGUGGAUUGGUCUUAACAGCUACAUGACUGAGGGCAAGUAUCGUUGGAUUGACAGAUGGAGAUUAGUUUACAGCAAGUGGUCCAGUGGGGAACCAAAACAGACAUUAGCAUGUGUCUACCUAGAUACUGAUGGAACCUGGAAGACAGCUUCAUGCAAGGAAAAACUCUUUUCCAUCUGUAAGAAGACAGAUGUAACGGCCCCUACUGAGCCCCCUCAGCUUCCUGGAAAAUGCCCUGAAUCAAAAGGACACAAGUCUUGGAUACCUUUCCAUGGUCACUGCUACCACUUUGAGGCUGUCAGGAAAAAAAGAUGGUCUCAAGCUCAUGAGGAAUGUGCCCGACUAGCUGCUGACUUGUUAUCUGUAGGAGACUAUACUGAAGCAAACUUUGUGGCAGAAACCAUUAAGAUACUUCAUGGAAAAUCUCCAAACUUUUGGAUAGGGCUAAAGAGAGAUGACAGAGAACAAUGGGUAUGGACAGACAAGUCAGAAUUGGAUUUUGUCAACUGGCAAAUUGGAGAGCCUGCAAACAGAAUGCAUAAAGACUGUGGAGAAGUAUGUGCAUUGACUGGGUUCUGGAACACCAACGUCUGCUCUUUCAGAAAAGGAUAUAUCUGUAAAAAAGCAAAAACUCCAGAAAAGACAGAGAUGUCACCAGAAAAUAUGGGACAGAAAACGGAGACAGUACUUUCUACUGGCAUCAUAUGGCUGUUUGUUUUAUUAGCCCUUUUUAUAGUUGGAGCUGUAAGUGUAGUUUACUUCUACUUGAGGAACAAAGGACAAAACCAAAUAAGCAUCUCAGCCAGAAUGAGUGGAUCAGAAGCAGCACUGGAUAUCCAAGAAGACGAUGCACAUACCAACAAGUAGUCUGAUAAAAUAUCCUAAGUUCCAAAAAAAAAACACAAAACGAAUCUAUGCAACUGUUAGUCAAAUCUCACGGCAGUUUUGUAUUUUCCUACUCAAAUAAUAGUCUUAUCCCUUCACAGAUAAGAAGUUAAUGGAUUUAUGUAAACAUACACACAUGUAUAGAUAUGCUCUCCAAAAUGUUUCAGUUUGUUUUUUAGUAUGAAGAGUACACCUGUUUUUCACAUAAAUGAGUGUGGCUGAGAAGUGUCAGGGCAAACCUAUGAUGUUUACCACAUGAAAUUGUUUUUUUGAGUGCUUUUUUUUUUUUUUUUUUUUUGCAUAUGAAGGAAAUAAUUACUCCUAUCUUUUCAUAUUUUUUUCCUGUUGUGCUGCUUCAGUGUUAUUUAGCUUAUGAUGGGAAAUGCUGCAGCUUCACAAUUCAUUAUAGUAUCUUUUCAUUAAUGUAAAGCCUACUACCAUACUUGUCUCUGUGAGUUACAUAUCAUCUCCUUGAUAUACGAAUAAGUAAAUACAUAGAUGAAAAAUAAUUGAAAAGAUUCCUGAUCGAAACUUUGGGAACAAUUGCAUCAUUUUCUACAACCUUGCACUUUUGCAUUAAUUCUGUAAAUGUCAGCAUUUUCCCACAAGAUUCAGAUUAAUACAACAAGAGAUGAUCUAUCUGUCGGGUAUUACUUCAGUAAUUAUGCUUUCAGAAUGCAGUAUUGAUGCCUCUUUUAAAAUCUAAGCAGGUGUAAUAAAUAGCUACAUUAUAUUGCAUAAGGUUAUCUCCUAAUUCAUUAACUAACUUUCCAGUUUAGAGGAAUAAAAUCACUUCUAUGCUUUUUGAAACAAAACUCUUCCAUUCCCAUUGUAAUUUCAUUUGUUAAUGUACUCCAUUAGAUUCCCUUUCAGAGAUUUUUCAGCUGUAUGCAGUAG
rnacentral:lncRNA from 1 species